CCUACGGGGGGCAGCAGUGGGGAAUAUUGGACAAUGGGCGAAAGCCUGAUCCAGCCAUGCCGCGUGUGUGAAGAAGGCCUUCGGGUUGUAAAGCACUUUCAGUGGGGAAGAAAGCCUUGGGGCUAAUACCCUCGAGGAAGGACAUCACCCACAGAAGAAGCACCGGCUAACUCCGUGCCAACAGCCGCGGUAAUACGGAGGGUGCGAGCGUUAAUCGGAAUUACUGGGCGUAAAGCGCGCGUAGGCGGUCUGAUAAGCCGGUUGUGAAAGCCCCGGGCUCAACCUGGGAACGGCAUCCGGAACUGUCAGGCUAGAGUGCAGGAGAGGAAGGUAGAAUUCCCGGUGUAGCGGUGAAAUGCGUAGAGAUCGGGAGGAAUACCAGUGGCGAAGGCGGCCUUCUGGACUGACACUGACGCUGAGGUGCGAAAGCGUGGGUAGCAAACAGGAUUAGAUACCCGUGUAGUC
rnacentral:rRNA from 1 species